rnacentral:rRNA from 1 species
UACGUAGGUGGCAAGCGUUAUCCGGAUUUAUUGGGCGUAAAGGGAGCGUAGACGGUGAUGUAAGUCUGGAGUGAAAGGCGGGGGCCCAACCCCCGGACUGCUCUGGAAACUAUAUGACUGGAGUGCAGGAGAGGUGAGCGGAAUUCCUAGUGUAGCGGUGAAAUGCGUAGAUAUUAGGAGGAACACCAGUGGCGAAGGCGGCUCACUGGACUGUAACUGACGCUGAGGUUCGAAAGCGUGGGUAGCAAACAGG